rnacentral:rRNA from 1 species
GGCGGACGGGUGAGUAAUACUUAGGAAUCUACCUAGUAGUGGGGGAUAGCUCGGGGAAACUCGAAUUAAUACCGCAUACGACCUACGGGAGAAAGGGGGCAACUUGUUGCUCUCGCUAUUAGAUGAGCCUAAGUCGGAUUAGCUAGAUGGUGGGGUAAAGGCCUACCAUGGCGACGAUCUGUAGCUGGUCUGAGAGGAUGAUCAGCCACACCGGGACUGAGACACGGCCCGGACUCCUACGGGAGGCAGCAGUGGGGAAUAUUGGACAAUGGGGGCAACCCUGAUCCAGCCAUGCCGCGUGUGUGAAGAAGGCCUUUUGGUUGUAAAGCACUUUAAGCAGUGAAGAAGACUCCGUGGUUAAUACCCACGGACGAUGACAUUAGCUGCAGAAUAAGCACCGGCUAACUCUGUGCCAGCAGCCGCGGUAAUACAGAGGGUGCAAGCGUUAAUCGGAAUUACUGGGCGUAAAGCGAGCGUAGGUGGCUUGAUAAGUCAGAUGUGAAAUCCCCGGGCUUAACCUGGGAACUGCAUCUGAUACUGUUAGGCUAGAAUAGGUGAGAGGAAGGUAGAAUUCCAGGUGUAGCGGUGAAAUGCGUAGAGAUCUGGAGGAAUACCGAUGGCGAAAGGCAGCCUUCUGGCAUCAUAUUGACACUGAGGUUCGAAAGCGUGGGUAGCAAACAGGAUUAGAUACCCUGGUAGUCCACGCCGUAAACGAUGUCUACUACCGUUGGGUCCCUUGAGGACUUAGUGACGCAGCUAACGCAAUAAGUAGACCGCCUGGGGAGUACGGCCGCAUGGCU